UUAUUUUUUUCACAAGAGGGAUAAUUUUAUUGAGCAAGAUAAAUAUUACAUUGGGCUAUAGAAUGCCCUAUAACACAAAAGCUACAGAAAUAUAUUAGGCCCAACUAAAGCCCAUCAGAGAAACCAACAUGGAAGAAGAAAUGUAUUAUCUUUUGUCUCUAUCCAAAGCCACGUGUCUUCUAUUGUAGAGAAACCAAUACACGUAUUGGAUGAGAAUCCAAAGUUUUCCCGACUUCAUCCUUUGCCGUCAAACAUCGAUUCUGGUGAAGAUUCGACGUCGAUUAACAAAUCAAACAUGAAAACUUAUGGGUUUUCACCGGUUAAAACAAUCAAAGCUCCAAUUAGAGAAACAACAGCUCAAGGCAAUGUUAAUAUGCGACGGAAAUCACUUUUGUUCUUCAACUCAAAUCUCUGAUUUGAUUCCUGCACUUCUAAACUCAAAAAGAAAAACAGGUUGGAUAAUAAGUAACAGAAGCGAAAAUCGCUCUAUCAUUAUCACCAACACAUCUCAAAUGAGAAUUAUUGAAAACAAAACUAAUUUAUGAAAAAACAAAAAGCAGCAAAAGAGCGCUGACGGCAUAGCCGAGCAUCAUCACUAUGAAAGCCAAAUGAUGUCGGACAAAACUUGGCCAACACCGGAAAGAACUAGUAGUUGCUAGACGAUAAUCCUUAUCGGAAGAGGCAGAAGCCGAAAAGAAUUCCGGACGGCAUAGUGAUUUUCAGCUUUCUCUCUCUCUCGAAGAUUUUAAAGAGGGAAAAGAGAGAGAAAACAUGGAUUCAAUAUUA
rnacentral:sRNA from 1 species